UGGGUAACCUACCUCAAAGAGGGGAAUAGCCUCCCGAAAGGGAGAUUAAUACCGCAUAAUAUGUUUAAGUCGCAUGACUUUAACAUCAAAGGAUUUUCUUUUAGAACUUCCACUUUGAGAUGGACCCGCGGCGCAUUAGCUAGUUGGUGAGGUAACGGCUCACCAAGGCAACGAUGCGUAGCCGACCUGAGAGGGUGAUCGGCCACAUUGGAACUGAGACACGGUCCAGACUCCUACGGGAGCAG
rnacentral:rRNA from 1 species